UACCAAGAGCAUGGGCUACUCAUCUCAGU
rnacentral:piRNA from 1 species